GAGCGGGGUGAGGGAGGGGGCUAAGGGGACCUAGUCCUAGCUUGGGAGAGGGGAGCAGAGGGAGGGUCGCGGCGGAAGGGGUGGCGUGGGUGCGCUGCGGGUGAUCCCCCCCCCCGAGUGGGGGGCGCACUGGACGUGCUGGCAGCCGGGGCAGGGCUCACCUAGAUCUAGCCCCCGUUGACUGCGGGGGCUGGGCAGCACGCGGCAGUGGCGGUGGUGGAGGCUGUGGCGACCUGGCGGCGGCCUCGGGGGGAGUGGCAGAAGCGGCCUAGCCGGCGGCGGGGCAGCGGGAGCUAAGGAGGGGCGACCUGACGGAGGAGGGCCUGAGCGUAGUGACUCGGAGCAGCGGAGAAGGGAGGAGCGUGGGGGGCACUGCUACGACUACGGGGACACCUGCUGAUGCAGUAGCUGCUGGGGAGGAAGAACAGACUCGUUGGUCUACGACCUCGGGACCUCGGUCUGCGGUGGUAGCUGCUGCUGGGGGAUGAUGUGGCCUCCACGGAUGAUGAUGCACGUCGGGCGACUGCUGCUGGUCCUCAUCAAUCCUCCUAGGGUCCGUCCUCCGGACGCGGAGAAAGCUAGACAUAGGGUCAAACACGAUCGGAAGAAUUCCGUUUGAACAAAUUGAAUACAGACAUGAGUCUAUAACAACGAAGGCGACUGAGCAGAUACUAGCUCGCGAACAUAAGCUCGGGAGCUCCGGGGACCGAACAUAAUACUAC
rnacentral:rRNA from 1 species